ACUUUCUUUCUGAUUAAGAUCUAGGCAUGUGUGUACUUAACAUAUUCUUUUUAUUUACUUUUUGAUUUUCUUUGGACAGUGACUUGAACCUGCUCAGGAGAGAGAACUUUUUCCUUUUUAAGUGUUUCUUUUAAAAAGUAUUUUUUUUCUGUAGAUUUGAAUACUUAUUAGUCCUUAUAUAGUAGGUUCUUGGUUAGCGUUAACCCAGUUUUACAGAUCCCCUAAAUUUGUUCAUUUUUUUCAGCGUAACUUUUAGUUAAUAGAUUUAUCAGUAGAGUUUUGAUAGUGAAUGUGUGCUAAAACAAAUAUAAUGUACUAUUGUACUUGCACAUAUUGAAGUUUUUAAUUUACAGUUUUAAAAUGCUUAUUCAAAUAGCCUUAUUUCUAACAGCAAACAUAUAUUGAGUUAGCUGACAUAGCAGCUUGUGAAUAAUGUGACAGUACUAAUUAUUCUUGAGAUUGUCAAUGAGCAGGGUGGGUAAUUAUAAUGCUAUUAAGGCUAAUAUUUUGUAAAAUAAGAGUUGAGAUUUUAAAAAAACUUUCAAUUCAUUUCCUUGUGAUUGCUAUUUUAAAUGAAGACGAUAUUUUGUUCUGAAAGAAGUCUUUCUCAGAGCACUCAGAUUUCUUUAUAAUUAUUCCUCCUCUCCCCAAACUGGGUUCCAUGCGAAUCUCUGAUACUAACUUGUAUUUUUUUUUCUGUUCAGAUGAGUGUCAAAUGCCUGAACACUUUUGGAUGGUGAAGCUCCUGGGUCCUAUAAACUCUCUCUGAAGUUAAUAGGAGUUUUGCUGUCUUGGGACAGUUUCAGACCUUAUGCAAUUUACAUAAUAGGUUUUCAUGUGUGAUUGCUAAUGUAGACAUGAAAAGGAGAUUAAUUCAGAUACAUUCACAACCUGAAACAAGAUGCUUCCAUCAAAAGAAUCAGAUCCUCAUAUAGCUGCUGGAGUUGGAACUACAGUCUUUGACAGCAAUAAGCUGCCACUUGGUCAUUCUGGCAUUUUAUGGUAGAGAAUACGUUGAGUUUGGCUCAUGGAAGGAAUAUGAGUCAAAGAUGUGAUGAUGAAAUAGAAUCCAUCAGUCUUCACAGGGAACAAGAUCAGGAUCUAAGGGAUUUAAAUGGACAAAAUGCUUUCUGACAUCUUGGAUCAUCUGAAGAAAAGAACCAGGAAUGAAUGGAGGGGGUCCUGGAAGCAAUACCCUGCAGAUACCAACGGAGAACUGCAGGUUGUUAAAGAGACCAUCAUGCAGACAUCAGAGACUGGGUCGGACACAGGCUCGACAGUGACCUUACAAACAUCUGUGGCUAGUCAAGCAGCAGUGCCUACGCAGGUGGUACAGCAAGUACCAGUUCAACAACAGGUACAGCAGGUACAGACUGUGCAGCAGGUACAACAUGUCUAUCCAGCUCAGGUGCAGUAUGUGGAAGGAAGCGAUACUGUCUAUACCAAUGGAGCAAUCCGAACAACAACGUAUCCUUACACAGAGACACAGAUGUACAGCCAAAAUACUGGAGGGAAUUACUUUGAUACUCAAGGGAGUUCUGCCCAGGUGACUACCGUGGUCUCAUCCCACAGUAUGGUGGGCACUGGUGGGAUUCAGAUGGGCGUCACAGGAGGACAACUCAUCAGCAGCUCUGGAGGAACCUAUCUGAUUGGCAACUCAAUGGAGAAUUCUGGUCACUCAGUGACACACACCACUCGGGCCUCCCCAGCGACAAUUGAAAUGGCGAUUGAGACGCUGCAAAAGUCUGACGGUCUGUCCACUCACAGAAGCUCUCUUCUCAACAGCCAUCUCCAGUGGCUGUUGGACAAUUAUGAGACAGCAGAAGGAGUGAGCCUUCCCAGAAGCACUCUGUACAACCACUACCUUCGACACUGUCAGGAACACAAACUGGACCCAGUCAAUGCUGCCUCUUUUGGAAAAUUAAUAAGAUCAAUUUUUAUGGGGCUACGAACCAGGAGAUUGGGCACUAGAGGAAACUCCAAAUACCACUACUAUGGGAUUCGUGUCAAGCCAGAUUCCCCUCUUAAUCGUCUGCAAGAAGACAUGCAGUAUAUGGCUAUGAGACAACAACCCAUGCAACAGAAACAAAGGUACAAGCCUAUGCAGAAAGUGGAUGGGGUUGCAGAUGGUUUCACAGGAAGUGGUCAACAGACAGGCACAUCUGUUGAGCAAACUGUAAUUGCCCAAAGCCAACAUCAUCAACAGUUUUUGGAUGCAUCUCGAGCACUUCCAGAGUUUGGAGAAGUUGAAAUCUCUUCUCUGCCAGAUGGUACUACCUUUGAGGAUAUCAAGUCACUGCAGAGUCUUUAUAGAGAGCACUGUGAGGCAAUAUUGGACGUUGUUGUGAAUCUUCAAUUUAGCCUGAUAGAAAAAUUGUGGCAAACAUUCUGGCGCUAUUCUCCCUCUACUCCAACUGAUGGUACUACUAUUACUGAAUCAAGCAAUCUGAGUGAAAUAGAAAGUCGACUUCCGAAAGCAAAGCUGAUAACUCUGUGCAAACAUGAGUCUAUUCUGAAAUGGAUGUGUAACUGUGACCAUGGGAUGUACCAGGCUUUGGUGGAGAUUCUCAUCCCCGACGUCCUUAGACCUAUUCCUAGUGCCUUGACCCAAGCCAUUCGAAAUUUUGCAAAAAGCCUUGAAGGUUGGCUUUCCAAUGCCAUGAACAAUAUUCCACAGAGAAUGAUACAAACCAAGGUUGCCGCUGUAAGUGCCUUUGCCCAGACUCUGCGAAGAUACACGUCGCUCAAUCACCUGGCCCAGGCAGCUCGUGCAGUGCUUCAGAACACUUCCCAAAUCAACCAGAUGCUUAAUGACCUCAACCGUGUCGACUUUGCCAAUGUCCAGGAGCAGGCUUCCUGGGUGUGCCAGUGUGAUGACAACAUGGUUCAGAGACUAGAAACAGACUUCAAGAUGACUCUUCAGCAGCAGAGCACCCUGGAGCAGUGGGCUGCGUGGCUUGACAAUGUGAUGAUGCAAGCACUGAAACCCUAUGAAGGAAGACCCAGUUUUCCUAAAGCCGCCAGGCAAUUUCUGCUAAAAUGGUCUUUCUACAGCUCAAUGGUUAUUCGAGACUUAACCUUACGCAGUGCUGCUAGCUUUGGCUCCUUCCACCUGAUCCGUCUACUCUACGACGAAUAUAUGUUUUACUUAGUAGAACAUCGUGUUGCUCAGGCAACAGGAGAGACUCCUAUAGCAGUCAUGGGUGAGGUAAGAGAGGCUAAAAGAGCUGUGACCCACUGGGUUAUUAAAAAUAAACCAGAAUUACACUUCAGUCUAAAUAUAUUAAUUAUUGGUUAAAACCAUGGUUCCUGACCAAGUCAGCCUCAGACCCAGGAGGGGCUGUGGAGUUAUUGCAAGAGUUCCUUAAAUUCCUCUGUUCUUAUGUGCUUAAUCAAAAGAUUCUAAAAUUGUGGAUUAUAUCAUGUGAAAGUUCACAGAAUGUCUAUGUUAUACAGGUACCUAUGUAAAAGAAAAACUUGAGAACCACUGGAAUAUGAAAAAUAUUUUGAGUGGGAAAAAGAUUCAUGCUCCCGAUAGCGCAAAGGGCUAGGAAUACAGUGGAAAAGGUUAACUAUGUAUUUUGUAGACUCUUUUUCCCAGUCUCCAAGAACAAAGUAAAUGAUUCUAUUUUAGAAGGAUAAAAAUGGUAAUGAUGAUAACUAACAUUUUUUGGCCACUUACUAUGUGCGAGGCACAGUUCUGUGUUUUUUACAUGUAAUAAAGCACUUGAUGCAAGUCUUUGAGGUAGGUUCUACUUCAUUCUGUUUCACAAUAAGCAUCCGAGGUUUAUGCAGAAAGCCAAGGCACAGAAAGGUUAAAUGAUUACUCAACUAAAAAAUGGUAGAGAUUUUUUUUCAAACACCGUCUGAUUUUCAAACCCAUGCUUCUAACCACUAACGAUGUGAGGGGGAAAAUUGUCUUCUUCAGAAUUUCUGAAUAGUAAUCAAAAUGGCUUAUCAAAAAGCUAAAACUCUGAAUAUAAACAAGGGCUGGUUAAUAUAAUGAAGAAUAGAUGCAAAUGCUCAAAUGGUUCAGCACUGGCUUAUUUCAUUAUAUUGAAUGCAGGAGGCGGGGGUAGUUUAUACCUUGUUGAAUUAUACCAGAUUAUUAAAUGUGACAAAUUACCCAAGGCGGUAAAAAAGACAUGUUCACUUUUAAGCUAUGUGCUUAUAUAAAGAGUGAAAACAGAUACUAUUCAAUGCUUUUCCUAGUUUAAUAUAAUAAGGUAUAAAUAAGAAUACAUUAAAAUACUUGAAGGACCUCCCUAAUAUUCUAGUAUAAAUAAAAUGCAUGUCAAACUUGUCUAGAAGGUCAGUUGAAAUAUUCGUCUUUUCCACUUCUUUAAAACCCCUUGCUGUAUACCAAUCUAAAUGUCUUUGUAUGAUGUUCCCUUAUGAUGAUUAAGCUUAAAUGAUGCCAAAUAUAUGUGUGAAAUUAAGCAGGAAUCACUGUGGCUUUUCACUGUAAGCAGGACCUCAUGUGACCAAAACAAUUUGGACUUUUCUUAUAUUUGACUUCCCCUCAUUGCCUCUUUCUUUAGUUGUUUUAUAGAUGCCUUGUUGGAAAAUGCCCAGUUAGCACGUGGACUUGGUACUCUAAAAUUUCUUAACUCAGGGUUCAAGACUUAAGAAAUGGACCUUGCCUUUUAGUAUACUUAACACAUUUGCCACUACCUCAUAUGCUCAAGGACUUCUUUAACAAGAUAAACAGGGCAAUGUGGCGGGGCUUCUCAUUAACACCAUGUGGCUAAUCUUGAUGCAUGGCCUUUGCUUUCCUUGCAUCUCUAGGGAACAAAGGCAGUGGACGUGAGCCAGUCACACAAUGUGAAGGCUUAGCAACCUCCUGGUAUGCUUGCACAGGCAGCAACAGAAUUAAAAUGGGCUAGAUAAUCUAUAGUGCCAACUAACCAUUCUAAUAGGUAUUCUUUUUUUUUUUUUUACUACAUGUAAACAAUCUAAAUGAAUAUGACAGAUUUUACAUGAGACAAAGAUAUAUACAUAAAAUCUAAAUAAAAAAACAUGGUCAAAGAUCUAAGCAUACUUCUUGAUUUCUUUUUUUUAAUUUUUUUAUUUUUUUGUUAUUAUUAUACUUUAAGUUUUAGGGUACAUGUGCACAAUGUGCAGGUUUAUUACAUAUGUAUCCAUGUGCCACGUUGGUGUGCUGCACCCAUUAACUCGUCAUUUAGCAUUAGUCAUAUCUCCUAACGCUGUCCCUCCCCCUUCCCCCCACCCCACAACAGUCACCAGAGUGUGAUAUUCCCCUUCCUGUGUCCAUUUGUUCUCAUUGUUCAAUUCCCACCUAUGAGUGAGAACAUGCGGUGUUUGGUUUUUUGUCCUUGCGAUAGUUUACUGAGAAUGAUGUUUUCCAGUUUCAUCCAUGUCCCUACAAAGGACAUGAACUCAUCAUUUUUUAUGGCUGCAUAGUAUCCAUGGUGUAUAUGUGCCACAUUUUCUUAAUCCAGUCUAUCGUUGUUGGACAUUUGGGUUGGUUUCAACUGUUUGCUAUUGUGAAUAGUGCCGCAAUAAACAUACGUGUGCAUGUGUCUUUAUAGCAGCAUGAUUUAUAGUCCUUUGGGUAUAUACCCAGUAAUGGGAUGGCUGGGUCAAAUGGUAUUUCUAGUUCUAGAUCCCUGAGGAAUCGCCACACUGACUUCCACAAUGGUUGAACUAGUUUACAGUCCCAUCAAUAGUGUAAAAGUGUUCCUAUUUCUCCACAUCCUCUCCAGCACCUGUUGUUUCCUGACUUUUUAAUGAUGGCCAUUCUAACUGGUGUGAGAUGGUAUCUCAUUGUGGUUUUGAUUUGCAUUUCUCUGAUGGCCACUGAUGAUGAGCAUUUUUUCAUGUGUCUUUUGGCUGCAUAAAUGUCUUCUUUUGAGAAGUGUGUGUUCAUGUCCUUCGCCCACUUUUUGAUGGGGUUGUUUGUUUUUUUCUUGUAAAUUUGUUUGAGUUCAUUGAUUUCUUUGCUUACUCAGUUUAUAGGAAAGCCCUUUGACCUGCCUAUGCUCAUCCAUUAUUUACCCCAAAAGGCAAAUUUAGACUAAUUUUAUAGGUUUGAUCUCCCCGUACAGCACUGAUGCCUCAUACACCUGUUUGCUCUCAUAGAUCUAUUGGCCAUGGUCAUACUAUCAUAUCUAAAAUUUCUUGAUUUGGGGAAAAGGAGAAGGAAAUUCAAAAAAUAAAAAGUCUGUUUUCUCGUGUUCUCCUCACAUUAUCCUAAGCCUACCUUCUCCUGGUCCCUUAGGUGACUUCCUUUUCCGAUCACCAAAUCCAGACCUGCCUAUGUACAUAGUGGGAGUAACACAUCAGGCCAAAAUCCAUUGAAAUCCAUAAAAAUCACCGUGCACUCCCAGUCACAGCAAAUGGUUUGGAAUAAUGAGUAAUAAUAGCAAUCACAAAGAUAAUAAUGAUUGUCACUAUUUAUUGAGAGCAUAUUAUAUACUCAACGAAAAUAAUAGUCUUGCUGUAUCUACUAAUGGCUCUUUCUCAGUAAAUGGCGCCACGAUCCUCCCAGUUGAUUAUACUAGACACAUGAGCACUCCCUUUUUAUGUCCGUCUAUCUUGACUUCCAUCUCCAACCAAUUACCAAGUUCUGUUUCUCAAAUCCCUCAGUGUGCAGUCAGUAUCGUGUUAUGAAAAUGCAAAGCUGACUGUGUCAUCCCCCACCUGAAACCCUUCAGUGGCUUUCCCUUGUGUUACUAACAUGAGCUCUUGCAUGAUCUGGCCCUGCCCCUCUGAUCAACGUCAGCCUCCCACUUCCUACUCUUUCUGUUGCAAUCACAGUGGCCUUUUCUCUGUUGUCAUUCACUAAGGUUUUCUCAUCCUUGGACUACUGCAUAAAUGGUUCUUUCUACCUGGAAGCCUCUGCCCAUCUCCCCAUGCCCAUACUAACUCCUACUUCAUGUUGUAAAAAUCAGUUUCUCAGGGAGACUCAGUUACUCCAGAAUACCUUAAAUAGUUCAAGUCUUUCUGAUUUGUACUUUUACUUGUCAUUCUAGAAGCUCCACAAUACUAAUUGCACAGUUCUUUGUUUGAUUUGUAUAAUCAAAUAUGUAAUACCUGGAAACAAUAAAGGACUUUGAGUCAGAAGUGAAUUCUACUUCUAGCUCUGUCUAUUAGCAUAAUUUUGGGCAAAUCACGUUGACUUGUGUUGAACUCUAGACUUCUGAUCUCUGAAAUUGAUUUAUCAUUUAUUAACAAGUUUUUCAUGUGCAGAUACUCUAUGCCAAAGCUAUCAUGUUUGGGAUAUAAUGAUGACAAAAUGGAUUUUUACCCUGCCUUCGAGGAGCUUAGAUUUCAAGUGGGGGAUACAUAUUUACAUAGUCACAUAACUAUAGCUACAAACUUUGUUAAGUGCUUUGAAGGAAAAUUAAAGGGAUAUAAGAAUGCUUAAAGCUUGAGGCCCUAAAUCUAGCCUGGGAGGACCAGGGAAGUCUUUCCCAAGGAAGUGAUGUUUAAGAUAAGAACUAAAGGACAAAAGAUGUUAACUCUGUGAAGAAAGAAUCUGAAGGUAAGGGGUGAAAAACACCCCAGGCACAGGGGAAUGUGCACAGGUCCUGACAGAGGUGGGAGGGAGCACAGCCAAGGUGAAGUUUUCCUGGGAAACCUAAUGUUCAAGCACCAGGGAGACCAAAUAAACACUGUCAAAUGCAACAGAGAAGAGGAAAAAUUGAAUUAGGAUAAAAAGUCAAAAUUUCAAGUGAAGCUAACACCUACAUAGCAGUUGUGUGCCAGGUACUGUUCUAAGUGCCAUAUAUGUAUGUUAAUAACUCACCACAGAUCUGUAAGUGGCUACUAUUAUUACACCUAUUUUACAGGUGAUGAAAUGAGAGGCUGGGCUUGGUGGCUCACGCCUGUAAUCCCAAGACUUUGGGAGGCCAAGGUGGGUGGAUCACCUGAGAUCAGGAGUUCGAGAACAGCCUAACCAAUAUGGUGAAACUCUGUCUCUACUAAAAAUACAAAAAAAAUUAGCCGGGCGUGGUGGCAUGUGCCUGUAGUCGCAGCUACUCGGGAGGCUGAGACCAGGAGAAUUGCUUGAACUCGGGAGGUGGAGGUUGCGGUGAGCCAAGGUCAUGCCACUGCACUCCAGCCUGGGCGACAAAGCGGGACUCCAUCUCAAAAAAUAAAAAUAAAAAAUAAAAAAAAAAAAAAAAAAGAAGAAAUGAGACAUAGAACCAAAAAGUAGCUUGCCCAAGGUCACACAACCACUAAAUUGUGAAAUCAGGUUCUGAAACCAUGCAGUCUGGCACCAAAGUCCUUGCUGUUAAUCUACCAUGCUUAUGACCUGCUACAGAUUGGAGUAGGAACAAUUUCAAGGGCAAACCUGCAAAACAGUCACAAACUUUGCUGGGCAUUUGUUUUGCCUUUAUAGGUGCUUGCUUUGGAAAAGAUGUCAGUUAAAUAGUUUCAUAAGCAAGCAAAAAGACUUUCCUUUUAAAGUGACUUAAGAACAAUGAAUGCAUCUUUUCAAUAAUGUGAACUCAGUUUUACUGAGUUUUAAAAUUAGCAUUACUUACAUUAUUUGAGCAGGCAGACAGGAAAGAACAGCACGUUUUACAUAUAAACAAAAUAUACAGGCAUACAAACUAUGACUUUUGAAUUCACUGUAAUACUGUCAUUUCAAUGUUGUAAAUGUUGUUGGUGUUAUUGAAAUAAAGACUGAUAUAUAAUGGACUCCCCUAAACUAGAAACAGCUUCACAGUCCCAAAAAGUUUUCCUGUAAAUGUCGGUAUGCCACUACAUUAAUACUGCCUAGUAAAUUAUUUAAAGCAUAUGCAAUUCUAGAGUUUCUUUUUUUUUGUCUAAAUGAUAAAAAGGAAACAAUUUAUUUAUUGCUAAAAUUUAUAUAAUUUUUAAAUUUUCAUUUAAAUAUCAUAAAUUUGUCCACAAGCUUUCUGGCAGUGGUGAAAUUUUAAGAGUCGGAAUAAAAUAAAAUAAAUGAGUUGCAUCUGUUUACAUAUCUGUUAAAUGAACAAUUUUAAAAAUCAUAAAGCUUUCCAUACAACUCUGACCAGACAAAUUGAGCAGAAAAAUGUCCUUUUAUUCAAAUGUUAUGGCUGUUUAGAAUCUUUCUGCGUUAUCUCUUUAAAACAUACAUAGUCCAUUAAUCACUGAAUCUUUAAAAUUUUUAUUGCUUCAUAAAAUGAUUUUGUUACAAACCUUUUAAUAAUCUAUUAAAUAUAUCUAAAUUCUUUUAAUCAUAAUUUAAUUAUACUUAAUAUUAUAUCUAAGCCACCUCUUUAGCCAUUUUCAAAGAGAAACCAGUAGAGUCUUUAAGUGUUCAAUUGUGAGUAUCAAUAUAGAAAAGAUAAUAUUUCAGUAAUAUUUUUAGAGAAAAAUUUAACCUUGGAUUCAUCAAAAUUGAUGUACUCAGUUAAUUUUUUUGGAAGGAAAAAUUCUUCAAAACCUAAAAACUGAAGAAGAACAAUAAUAAUUGAACAUGUAAGCUUUUGGGAUAAAAGCUCAGUGAAAGAAUUCCAUUUGGUGGAAGUAGAAUUACAUUCAUAGUAAACAAGUAUUGGUGCUUAAAGUAAAAUCAAACCAAAGAAAAACAAAUUUUAGCAAGCAUUGUGCUGGUGUGACUAGGGAAUACACUUUAAAUGUGCCUGUUGAACAACAGACUUGUUACAGCAGAGUAUUUUAAAAGGAAAGAAUAUUAUCACAAGUCGGGAUAGUUUGCAGGGAAAAAAAAAUCAAUCUUGGAACAGUAGUAGCUUAGAAAAUGUAAGGAAUACUUGUCAAAAGUUAUAUUGUUGAUUGUUAUUUAUAGUAAAGCUUAUUAUUUACCAUAUUAGUAUUUUUCUAAUUGAGGGCAGGCCUUUUGCCAAUCACCAUGCUAGAUGUCUUACAUUCUUAUUUAAUAGUGACUGAAACCUUGCAAAAGAUGUCUUAGUAUUCCUAUUUCACCAGUGAGGAAAAGAGAAAUUGAAAGUUUCCCCAAAUCAAAACUAGCAAGUGGUAGAACUAACUUUAGAAAGUAGGACUGCCUCAUUUCAAAUAGUCAAAUGGGAUGGGCUUAAUCUCUAUUUCAGUUUUUCACCGUAUAAGUUAUUAUAGUUUCAGAAUAGGAACUAUGUGCAACUCCCCCAAACACAUAAACACAUAGACACACAUUUUCUCUCUGACAAUCACAAGCCAGGUGCCUAGCUUAUAAGUUUUUAUUAUUUUGUUUCAGAGUUUCUUUUCCUCUGCCUUACAGGAUGCCUCUUAAUACUCUUGCCAUCUUUUCCCCUUGCACUUUUUGUUAGUAGAUGUUUAGAAUAUGAAAACUAAAUGGAAUAUUAGUCUAAGCAAAUUGCGUUUGGAAAACUAAAUCUGCCAGAAAAUAACAAAUUACACCCUACAGCUCCUGUACACCCAUCCUGAGACCAGACCUAAAUCAAACAUUUUUUUAAAGAAGUCGUAGUUUGGUUUUAGUUGUAAAUCUGCUCAUCUACAUUAGCACAAUUUCUGACAACUUGAAAAUAAAUUAUAAAAGUGACCCCAAAGUUCCCGAGAAUUGGCUCUGUGUCCCAUUUUUUCUUCCUUUUUCCUGGUUUGUCAUUCUAUUCAUUUCUCUUCUUGGAUUUGAGAAAGGAAUCUGUUGACUCAGCCGCCGAGGGCUAUGGUUCUUUCCCUCUGGGAUCCCUGCUCAUUAGCUUCCUAUGCAUGGCUUUCUUCCCUGCUGGCUCUGGGCUAUAAUCUCUCCUCUCAUCCUCUUCAGGGAAUGGAGAAAAUUUGUUUAUAACUGUGAUCUAAACAUAAUCACACAAUAGGUACCCUAAAAAUUGUCACUCAAGGAAGGAAGUACAAAGGACAGACUACCAAUUGAUAGGACGUCUUCUUGGAUUUCAUGAUUGAUACACUAGAUUUCUUUACUCUGGGCAAAAAAAACCUCCUAGACCAAAAAGUGCACCUUCUCCUUAGAAAGUGCCUGUCAAUACUAUUUCAGAGAAAUACUAUGAAGUUGGACUUUUGUAGGUGCUUACAACGACAGCAGUUUUCCUAAAGAGCUUAGAAGUGGGGAAAUAAACCAAAACAGAAGUUGAAGACUUUUUAAAAUAUUUCAAGGACUAAAACGGUCGCUGUAGACAUCAGGAGAGAAAUCUCAGCACACAGUCCUCUUCAGCAAAGUCCACCGCUAAGUUAUUUGUUUAGUAAAGAGUUUGUCAGGUAGCACUGCAGCUAUUUGGGCAGACCCAACCAGAGAAAAAGAUUCCCUGGCAUAGAGUAAGCAUGACGGUGCCACCUACUGGCCACUUUGCCACACUCUGUCAUCCUGUGCCUAGCCCAAGUGGCUCUGGCUUUAAGAUUGUCUUUAUGGUGAUUUUGCUCUCAACCACAGGGAAGAUAGUGGUUGCUGGCCCCCCUGAUAAAUAAAUAGCUCUUGUUUGGGAUAGGCAAAUUCCUAAACUCACAGGAAUUGUUUUCUUUCUUUAUACCAUCCUUAUAUAAAAUAUACUACCAUAAAAUGUAAAAAUUAGAGAUUCUCUGCAAGAAUAUGGGCCUUAUGUGAUGAUAAUACAAGCACUUCAAACCUGAUUGAUGCUUGUUGUGAAGGUUUUCUUAGUACAAAGGAAACAUGUUUCUAUACUGCCACUCUGAUUGUCUGUCCAGUUAAUGAUUUACAGAAAAGAGAAGUGGUAUAAUCAAAAUUAAGAUACAGCCCUCUGAUAGAAUAAAUUAAUGCUAUGCUUUCCUAUUGAAUAAUAUAGAUCUUUUCAAGGGAAGCCAGUGUUAAAUUAGGAGCAAGGUUCGUUCUAUUUCCCCCAAUAGCUUUGUUUGCAUAAAGGAUGUGCUGCCUGGCCUAACCCUGCAAUUUGCAGGGCCCAGGAUACCAUAUGUCUAAAUAUUUUAAAAGUUAUGAAUCAGACUAUAAAUAAAGUCUGUUCUAUCCACCUACCUUGACAAAUAUGUCUUGAUAACAACUUGGAAGGCUGAGUUUGGAUUUGAAAUUCUGUCUCCCCUGAGUUCCAUACCUGAAAAUAUUGACAUAGACAUGGCCAGCCCGUGUCCCCAGCCUCUGGUCCUAGACUGCUUCAUCACUCCCCAUCAUUUAUUAUGAACAGCUUUGUGCUGAGAUUUGUGGACACCUCAGCCUGGUCUUCAACUUUUGUCCACCUUUUGCAACAGCUGCCCCUUUUUGGCUGUCUCUUCAUGCCUCUGAAUGGUAGAGUUGGAGAAGAGACCUGCCAGGGCCUGGAAGGGAACUCAGAGUCACAGGGCAGGGAAUUCUAGGGUGUCAGAUAAGAAGAGGUGGUAUGGGAGGAGAGAGGGAAGCACAGGCUCCAAGAAGUCACAUCCAGUUGGCUCUAUGGACUCCUUACGCUGUAGGAAAGGGACGGGCAAUGGAAAAGACAAAGCAGAGUUCUCUAUAAUGUGCCAAAGGCCCCUCUUGCUUUGGCCUUAAUGGUGGUGUUAAAUGCUCCUGUUUUUGAGACUACUUUUCUCUUCCAAGGCAACUAAGGCCGAUAUUGUAAUCUGAACACUUCACCGCCUGCGCACUCACUCAUAAGUGUGUCUUAGACAUUUAAACACAAUUAGGUACACCUGUUGCUAUGUCCCCAAGGCAGGCAAAAAAAGCCUGAACAGUUAGAAUCAUGUUGCCCUGUUUACAGAGUGACCAGUAGCACACAUUGCCAGGAUAGCUGUCUAGCCCACAACAACAAGACCAACAGCAACUACAGGCAGGAUUUGUCCAUGUGCGGAGCAAACUGCCGGAGAUCUUGGCCUUCUUAGCAGGUUUCAAUAAAAACUAUUUAAAGAUGCAUAGAAAAGUACAUAUACACAUACAAAGAAAAGUAACCAAGGAACACAAGGUUUUACCAAAUGGAAUGUUAAUAAUCCUUGCAAAUAUUACAAAACUAGAAAUUAAAGUCAGCAAUCUUUUCCUCGGUUGUAAAACCAUGUCUCAAUGCUAAAUUCAAAAUGCUUUGAUUUAUUCGGUUCUGGUUUGGGAGACAUUUAAAGAAAAUAAUAAUGCUCUGGACUCCUUACAUUGAAAUUUCAAGAUGUUUCUUUUCACCUUCAAAAACAUCCAGAAUAGCUGCCAUUACCUACCUUUUUUGAAUCACUUUUAUUAUCUCUGGUUUUUUUUAAUUUGAGAUGGACUUUUGCUCUUGUUGCCCAGGCUGGAGUGCAAUGGUGAUCUCGGCUCACCAUGACACAACCUUCGCCUCCCGGGUUCAAGCGAUUCUCCUGCCUCAGCCUCCCAAGUAGCUGGGAUUAUAGGCAUGUGCAACCAUGCCCGGCUAAUUUUGUAUUUUUAGUAGAGAUGAGAUUUCUCCAUGUUGGUCAGGCUGGUGUCAAACUCGGGAGUUUGACCUCAGGUGAUCCACCUGCCUCGGACUGAUCACUUUUAUUAGCUAAGGUUAAUAGAAUUGAAAUCAUAGGAAUUUGCAGGGCUAUAUAUUAUUUGUAAAAUUCAAAAUGUUGCAAAGUUCAAGCUAAGUAUGGAAUGCUGAAAAGAUAAGCAUUGAGUCAGGAAGUUCCAAAUCUGCUUGUGAACAAUCUUCCUGAUUCUCUAAAAAGGGCUUUAAAGGGCCUUAUUUCUUCAUUGACUUCUUUGAAGAACAGAGAGAAACACUCGGUUAGGCCAAGGUUUACGUGCUGAUAAGUCAUCUGAGUUCAUCAGCUAUUUCCAGUUGUGUAAUCACCCCCAUUCCACCAAACACAUGCACACGCAAGCACUUCAUCCAUUCUCAGGCCAGCCCUUCUCAUCGUUAUUUGCUGGCUUGAAUCAUAAAUGGCUUGAUCAGUGCAUAAACUGACUUCUGGCUCCAGUCCUAGAUUGAGUUUACAGUGUCAACUUGACGUCAAAGUCCACAGUACCUUUCCAUUCUUAGACUGUGCUUCCUGGAAUCCCACUUAGCUAGAGGCAUUUAUUUCAUUUUAAAAUCACCAUCUUAGGACCUUAUUAUUAAAUGGAAUUUUACGGUUGUAUCAAUAGUAUUUGAAAAUUGAGUUUUAAAGGUAAUGUGACACGGUAGAAGCACUGUUCUAGGUCCCUUUGCAAACAUGGGCAAAUUGAGUCCUCAUGUUAUGAGCUGUCUGUUCAUAUAUUGGGAAGUCUAAGGCUCAAAGAGUUUGAUUUAUCUGGGAUCACACAAUUUUUUUUUUUUUUUUUUUUUUUUUUUUUGAGACAGUGUCUUGCUUUGUCACCCAAGCUGGAGUGCAGUGGCACAAUCACAGCUCACUGCAGCCUUGACCUCAUGGGCUCAGGAAUGGGAUCACAUAAUUGAUAGUGGUAGAGUUGUGAUUCAAACCCAGGUCAGGCUGGCUCCACUUCUUAUGUUGUUCCUCCCAUGCUGUGCUCCAUGCCUGUAUUUAAAUUCUCUAUUUCCCAUUUAGUAUCUUUGCAACCUGGGAAAGUUAUAUAUAAUAUCCUUGCUUGAGUCUUAGUUUUCUCCUCAAUAAAAUAAGCGUAAGGACCUUUUUUCAUAGGGCUUCUGUGAAGAUUAAUUUAGGCAGGUAAGUAGAGUAGACAGGCAGACAGGCACAUAGUAGGUUCCUGAUCUUUGUUAGUUCCUUCUCCUUCCCCUUUCCAUAAAUAUGUAAAUAUCUGAUAAGUAUUUGAUCGCCUUCUACUCUGGAUUAGAUUUUUAAAAAUCAUUUCUGCAUUGACAAUCCAAGUAAUAAUGUAUAUAAUUAGAUCAUCAUUUCUUGGACCAUACAAAGAUAAACUUAAAGUUGAAAUUGAUAAAACAGGUAACAAAAAGACACAUGAAGGCAUUGAUAAUACUGUACUGCUACUGGGAGAAUACCCUGCAAACAAUUUUUGAAUGUUGAGUCAAAUGAUUCAUGGAAUACAAAGAAUCCAACAGCAUUCUUUGGUAUGUAGCCAAAGUGGUAAUCAAAGGGAAACUAAUUCAAUGCUUUAAAAAACACAAAUAAAAAAAUAGAGUGGGGAAACAAGUCAAUUAUAAAAGAAAAUGGGAACAUUAUAGAAGAAUAAACAUAAUUAGUUCUAACUAGACAGUCAUAGCUAGGCUUGAAUUAAAUCUUAAAUAGUAGAAAUGAAUGAAAGGUUUUAUAAGUACUUGUGAAGUGGAGAGAAAGGAAAAUGUAUAGAAUGUAAGCAAGUUAAAAGGUAACUUCCCAAAGAGAUAUCUUAUUCCAGCCACAAGAUAGAAACUAUUUCAGAAAAGUUUAUAAUCAUUUGUUCUUUGGGCCUAUGACAGUUUAAAAAUCUUCUUUCCUAGAGCAAAUGAUUCAUUCACAGAAACUGGCAAAAUGUAUACAUAUACACAUACGUAUUUUCUCCCUUACAUUUAUUUAUAUAAAGUUACUAUUGCUGGCAGAACUGGUCUCCAAGGUACCUGAUGACCCUCACGUGAGUAGUCUUUUCUGGUUAACAUUUUCACAUAUGUGGACUAUCUGUUGCUGAUGAUCAUGUUCCCAGGUCAGCAGGAAUGCUUCUGGCAAUGUGGUGUUUGCCUUGUGUGUUCUGCUGUGUCCACUGCUUGUAGUCACUUCCUCCAUCUGAUCACAUGCCAGCACCUUGGCCUCUGACUGCCCGCCUCUGCACAGCUUGGAUCCUCAUGGAACCAUUGAGAAGUGCUGACACAGAGGGCUUUCCAAGGUCUUUGGGGCUUCUUGUGGUGCAGCUGGUAGCAUGGGUUGGUGCUCAUGAAACUGUCCAGAGGAUAUAUCCUCUUCCUUAGUGUGUACUUUAACAUAUUUGCUUGGAUAUGGAGCUUAGGACUGCUCUGGCCCUACUACCCUUCAGUAUAUUUUGGUUUCCUCAGUUUUGGUUUCCACUUCUUUCUCUGAGUGACUUCCUUGUCAACUUCCUUAACAACGUUCAGCUCUGUGAACCUCAUAGACUUUUUAGAUGCAUGUAUGGUUUCAACAGCCUAGACCUUGAAAUGCAUGCUGUAAACACUUUGAGACCGGUAGGAACUCGUAUGUAAAAUUAAAAGUCUGUAAAUGAAAAAUAAAGUACAAAUGUACUAGUGGCAAAUAUAUCAUAAAAGAUGAAUUGAUUCCUGUAUACCACUGUACCCUACCCUUAGUGAGGAACAUAAACAAAAUUGAGGAAAAAAUUACUAUGUUCCAAAUAGCUUAAUCUGGUUGGAUGUGUUUCCUCCAAUACUAGAAAAAGUCAUAUGGUUUCACUCAAGCAAAUGUGAUAAUUUAAAAAAAUAACUUAUGUAUAUGUGAUAAGCAGUAGAAUGGGCAUUAAGAUGUCUACAUCUUAAUCCCUGGAACCUGUGAAUAUAUUAAGUUAUAAAUGGAACUAAGGUUGCUAAUUGGUUGAAUUUAAAUGGGGAGAUUAUCCUGGAUUAUCCAGGUGUGCCCAAUGUAGUUACAACAGUAGUAUGUAGAAUACUACAUACUAACAUGAAGAGAGAGGUGGAAGAAUCUGUGUCAGAGUGAUGCAAUGUGUGAGACUCAACCUGACAUCGCUGGCUUUGAAAAUGGAAGGAGGCCAGAAACGAGGGAAUGGUGACAACCUCUAGAAGCUGAAAAAGAGUUAAAAAAAUUCUUUUCUAGACACUUCAGAAAGAACCGCAACUCUGCCAACACCUUGAUUUUAGUGACUGCAAACCCAUUUAGAAGUUCUGACCUCUAGAAUGACAAAAUAAUAAGUUUGUCCUGUUUUUAGCCACUAAGUGUGGUGAUUUGUUGCAGCAGCGUUAGGUACGUUACAGUAUGAAAGCUAUAUUCCUCUGAAUGAAUAUUGCUCAUUGAUGAUUUAUGGAUUAUAGGUUCUUCCUCCAGUAUAUUAUUUUUUUUUGCUUCCACCUCUCCUUGCCACACAUCUUACUGUCCUUUCUCCAUUGAUGACCCACCCUGAAAGCCGUCAUCAUCUGGAACACUCCCUAUUUGCUUUUACCUAUGGAGAACUUCUAUAAUAGACUCUCUCUUUACAUCUUCACCUGCCAUCCAAAUUGGAGCAAAUGUUCCUUUAGGGAAGCUUGCCCCACCUGAAUUAAUAACACAUGUAAACUUUUCUCCAAUCUCUUGUCUUGCAAACUUUCAUGAAAUCUUUUCUGUCGUUGUAGACUUCUUCCGUCUUCAUCCACAAAUGCAUACAAUUAAACACCAACUUUGGUCUGUCCCUCUUUGCCUAUAUAUGCAAGUACCCAGCGAAAGUGGAAGAAGAUUAUUUUUCUAACUCAUUUCUGUCUUUAAAAGCUGACUCUUGUUUUUUCGCUUGUGACCUUCAUCAGUUGAUGCCCAUAUGCCUGAGCUGUCCUCUCUUGAAGGCUCUGGUUCUAUAUCCUUCCUGUGACCCAAGUCCUUAUAUACCUUUCUCAAAGAUAAAAAUCUUCUGUUCCCUUCACUGUUAAUGAGCUGGAGCAGGUCUUCCAGGGUCUUACAAGCUGUUCCUCUAGUCAGGUGUCAGCAAACAGUGGUCCACAGGCCAUAUCCAGCUCAUCAUCUGUUUUUGUAAAUGAAGUGGUUUGAUUUUGGGGUGUGGUGCUUUGGGGUUUGUUUGUUUGUUUGUUUGUUUGUUUUGAGACUGGGUCUUGCUCUGUCACCCAGGCGGGAGUACAGUGGCACGAUCACAGUUCCCUGCAGCCUCGACCACCUUGGAGGGUGAUCCUCCUACCUUAGCCUCCUGACUAGCUGGGACUACAGGCACGUGCCACCAUGCCCAGCUAACUUUUUUGUAUUUUUUAUAGAGAUGGGGUUUUGCCAUGUUGCCCAGGCUGGUCUCAAACUCCUGGGCUUAAGCAAUCCGCACACCUGUGCUUCCCAAAGUGCUAGGAUUACAAGCGUAAGCCACUGUGCCCAGCCUUGUUUUUGUAAAGUUUUAUUAGAGCUAUGUCACACACAUUCAUAUACCUGUUAUCUAUGGCUAUUUUUGCACUACAGUGGUAGAGUUGAAUAACUGUGACAGAGUCCUAAUGGACUAUAAAGCCUAAAAUAUUUAGCAUCUGGUCCCUUACUGAAAAAGUGUGCCAGCCCCUCUUCUAGACCAUACAGUUUUGUAUUUUGCCGCUAUCCGUUUUAUUUUGUUUUGUGGGUGAUAGUUAACAUAGUGAUAUUAGACUUGGACAUAUAAAUAGAGAAAGAGACAGAGAGAGAGGAAGGAUGAAAAUGUGCCUACCCGUAAAUCUGUAGUCUGGAUAUACUAACGGAGAUUUUCUGUAAGAUGCAAUUUUUCUAUGUAGCUUUUGGUAUCUUUUCAGAGUACUGGGAUAGUAGAGUCGGACUGAUUCUGCAUGGCUGGUCUACAGUUCUUGGGAGAUAAUGAUGAUACUUAUAAAUAAUAACAAUAUUGAUAAUGGUGAUCAUUUGUUAAGUGCUUCCUAUGUGCCAGGCACUAUGCGAAGUACUUUAACUUGGUUCUUUGGAAAGAUCCAAAUUAACACUAUUGGGGAACUUGUUACAGAUUUGCUUAAAUGAUUAGCAAGUGAUGGCUGUGCUUACAAAGAAUUAAUGAUACAUAUAACAUAAAUGUGAUUAUGAUUACUCACUAAUUCUUUCUCCUCAGGGUGGGGUAAGCUCUUCCAGCAGGGAAGGUGUCCCUAAGGUUAGGUCUUCAUCCCAAUCCCCUGAGCUCUUUCCUUCUCUCCUACUUCCGUUCCAGUCUGUUUCUUGGCCCCCACCAUGGAUCCCCACCUGUUUGCUGUCUAGGCACCCCGACUUCCUCUGCAUUGUUUCAGUGCCCAAACAUUACAGAACAAGGCUUGCCUGCCUCACUGUGAAAAUUCAGCUGUUGCUGAAUUGAAUGUGCAGCGGUCUCUUCAGUGCCCCUAUGGGCUGCAUUCUCCCACGCUGAGCCAGGUGCCUUGCAUGGUAACCAUGCUCAGGGACAGAUACUAGGCCUCAAAAUCCUGUUCAUUAACAAUCCAGCUGCCUGGCCACAACCCAGGGUCUCUCAGGGAUGCUGCCCAUCGUUGCCCUGACUGUGCUAAACUGUUGCCCACUUAUACUUCAUGGACAUUGCUAGUGUUACACGAAUAUAUGUGCUAACAGACUCUCACUGGCUGCCUUGAGCAUGUAUUUCCCAGCCUGCUGUUGUCCAGUGAGGUGUUCAUUAUUUUGACCCUAGUCAGGACCUGGAGGAAAUAGUCUAUAGGAUAGGAAGUGUUUCUUCUCUCAAACAAUAGACAUGUUUCUCUACUGUCUCUUCUAGUUUCUCUUCGGAAUGUUUCCUAUUUAUCUCUCUGACUGAUGGAAUGUGAAUUCAUGCAUUGAAGGCCAUAUACUUUCUAACUCCAGAGCACUUUUAAAAUCCCUUAAUUUAUAUUUCUUCCUCCAUGUGUGGGUGUCUCUCUCUGUCCGCUUCCCCUCCCUCCCCUCCCUCUCUCACCCCACAUCCCAGCCCAUUUCUCUCUCUCUCUCUCUCUCGCUCUCUGUCUCUCUCUCUCUCUCUCUCUCUCAGAUUCUAAACCAAGGAGAAUAUCUGGUCUCAAAUCUAACAACACCAUAUUUACUACAUGACAUUAGACAAAUGAACUCAUUGUUUUCAAUAGCUGUAAGACGAAAUCUAAACACUUAACUUGCCAAAUUCCUAAGUUGUUUUGGUAAGGCUGAAAUGAGGAAGUAAAUUCAUUCAUCUGGUAAGUAUUUAUUCAGCCUUUAAUGUGUAUCAGGCACUAUACCAGGUGGGAUACAUUUAUGAAGAGAACAAAUGAACUUUCUUACCCAUGGCAGUGACAUUUUGGUUGAGAAGACAUAUAUUAGGUGAGGAAACACAGUAAGUUCUGCAGGUUGUGGUGGGUGCUUUAUAGGAAGUGAGCAUGAUGCGGUGACUGAGAGUGACAGGGAUGGUGAUACUCAAGAUAGGGCUGCCAGGAAAGCCUCUUCAGGGAAGCAAUACUGACAGUGUGACACUCGCAUUCUGUUUGAGAGAAAGCCUACUGUGUAUUGAACUGCAGACACACCUUAUAAGUGGUAAGAUGUCACAUCAAUGAAGAGUAGCCUCCUCUAAUCCUUUGUGCAAGAGGAGAAAUUACAGAACAGUAAGUUUUCCCAAUUUGUGAUGCUGUAACUUCAUAAUAAUCGCUAUACUUCCUUGUGAGCUUCCUUUUUUUUCAUCUAAAUCUUUUACUGCUGCUUCUUCUGUUUUUUGUUUGUUUGCUUACUUGCUUGCUUGUUUUUGAGACAGUUUCACUCCUGUUGCCCAGGCUGGAGUACAGUGGCAUGAUCUCAGCUCACUGCAACCUUCGUCUCCCAGGUUCAAGUGAUUCUUCUGCCUCCGCCACCAUGCCCAGCUAAUUUUUGUAUUUUUAGUGGAGAUGGGGUUUCACCAUGUUGGUCAGACUGAUCUCGAACUCCCGACCUCAGGUGAUCCACCCGCCUCAGCCUCCCAAAGUGCUGGGAUUACAGGUGUGAGCCACCAUGCCUGACCUCUCUUCUGUUUUUGAUUUGUGCUGGCCUAAUCUUGUCAUCUGGCACCUAUCUAUGGUACUGUUUUCCUUCUGCCUGCUCUCAAUCUUCCCUGCCACUGUUCAUACCCUUCCUUCCUGCUGCUUGACCUGCUGCAUGCCAUAAACCCAUGCAAUUGGUUUCCAUUUCUAAGACUUGAACCCUAUACUUCUAAAACCUUCCCUGAGGUUUCCUAAGCUGCUCAUUUUUUCUGCUAACCUACCUACCCUUCAGAAUAUAGGGCAUGUCUGCUACUUACCUCCUGAAGACAGGAAUAUUUCUAAACUGAUCUGACUCAAAUUGGCUGGCAUAGUGCCUGGCACGUAUAAAUCCUCAAUAAAUAUAUAUUGACGAAAUGAGUAAGCGAACUGAUUUUUUGGAUAUCAUGCAGCGUAUCUAUAGGCUUAAAGUGUUUUUUCCUCUGUAACUUUACAUCUAUUGUCCCCUCACAUGUAAAAUGCAUAUAAAAUCCUUUACCUUUAGCUCUAUAGGAUAGUAAAAUCUUAUCACUUCUUAACAGGAUUUUUAAAAUUUUUAAUCUACUCCCUCUAUUUGCUGUACAUAUGAAACUUUGUCGUUGAUCCCAGAGACACCUAGAGGCAUUGACAGUGUCUCUGAGAUUCUUUGUACAUUGUCCCCCAUAGUGCAAAUGACAAGCCUCGGAAUUUAGUAUGUAACUGGAUUUUUGCUAAUGAAAAUAACAAUCACUGAGAUUUCAGCUAUUUUGGUUUCUGUUUUCAGCCUGUGAAUUAUCAAAUGUAUUAUUCAUAUUAAGUAGAAACAUCUAAGGAAAAUCUUUGUAUUAAGGAAGUUGUCAUGUUUUCAGUUAAGUAACAACUAAAUGCAAUGUUUCUUUUGAAGAGAAUUUUCAAGUAUGUCCAGAGUUUGGUUUUAGACACUUUGUGUGAUAUUAUUGAUCAGCAAUAGCAAUAAUAACUUAACUACAAGCAACUUUCAGAGACUUUUCAACAGCAAAUAGAAUACUCACUUUUUAUCAGUAUAAAGUUUGGUGAUUUAAAUGCCGUGUCUCCUGGAAAUCUGGAUAAAGAUGAAGGCAGUGAAGUAGAAAGUGAAAUGGAUGAAGAACUGGAUGACUCUUCAGAGCCUCAAGCCAAAA